CGGUUGGUUUAUUAUCGUAAUAGUGCUAAUAGCAGUGGCAUUUCUCUAUGUGGGAACUGCCAAGUCUGUGUGAACAUUGACGUCUUCU
ensembl:ncRNA C30F8.5 ncRNA